GCAGCCGCAGCGGGCCGGGCAGCGGUGCCUUGGCGGCGCCGACGGCACGCACAGGGCGCAGGAAGGGGUCGUUCGCGUCGAUCCGGCGGUG
rnacentral:tRNA from 1 species